rnacentral:rRNA from 1 species
AGCGAACGUUUGCGGCGGGCUUAACACAUGCAAGUCGAACGGGCUGUUCCUUCGGGGGCAGUCAGUGGCGCACGGGUGCGUAACACGUAGGUAAUCAACCCUCUGGUUGGGGGAUAACACUUCGAAAGGAGUGCUAAUACCCGGUAUGGCGCAGCGGUCUUCGGAUCGCGGCGAGAAAGACCCGCAAGGGUUGCCAGAGGACGAGCCUGCGGCCCAUCAGCUAGUUGGCGAGGUAACGGCUCACCAAGGCGAAGACGGGUAGCUGGUCUGAGAGGAUGAUCAGCCACACUGGAACUGAGACACGGUCCAGACUCCUACGGGAGGCAGCAGUGGGGAAUAUGUCGCAAUGGCGAAAGCCUGACGCAGCCACGCCGCGUCGAGCGAUGAAGGCCUCGGUC